UACAGAGACUGCAAGCGUUAUUCGGAUUCACUGGGCGUAAAGGGUGCGCAGGCGGCCAAGUGUGUGAGGCGUGAAAGCCCGGGGCUUAACCCCGGAAUUGCACCUCAAACUACAUGGCUAGAGCAUUGGAGAGGGUAGCGGAAUUCCCGGUGUAGCGGUGAAAUGCGUAGAGCUCGGGAAGAACAUCGGUGGCGAAAGCGCUCUGCUGGACUGCAACUGACACUCAGGGACGAAAGCUAGGGGAGCGAAUGGG
rnacentral:rRNA from 1 species